UACGACCACAUCGCAUCAAAACACCGGUUCCCGUACGAUCUCCGAAGUUAAACAACGUCGAACCUGGUCAGUACAUAGAUGGGUGACCGCUUGGGAACACCA